UCAGUUCGGAUUGCAGCCUGCAACUCGGCUGCAUGAAGCUGGAAUCGCUAGUAAUCGCGGAUCAGAACGCCGCGGUGAAUACGUUCCCGGGUCUUGUACACACCGCCCGUCACACCAUGGGAGCCGGAAACGCCCGAAGCCAGCGGCCCAACCGCAAGGGGGGAGCUGUCGAAGGCGGGGCCGGUGACCGGGGUGAAGUCGUAACAAGGUAGC
rnacentral:rRNA from 1 species